CAGGUGCUGCAUGGCUGUCGUCAGCUCGUGUUGUGAAAUGUUGGGUUAAGUCCCGCAACGAGCGCAACCCUUAUCCUUUGUUGCCAGCGAUUAGGUCGGGAACUCAAAGGAGACUGCCAGUGAUAAACUGGAGGAAGGUGGGGAUGACGUCAAGUCAUCAUGGCCCUUACGACCAGGGCUACACACGUGCUACAAUGGCGCAUACAAAGAGAAGCGACCUCGCGAGAGCAAGCGGACCUCAUAAAGUGCGUCGUAGUCCGGAUUGGAGUCUGCAACUCGACUCCAUGAAGUCGGAAUCGCUAGUAAUCGUGGAUCAGAAUGCCACGGUGAAUACGUUCCCGGGCCUUGUACACACCGCCCGUCACACCAUGGGAGUGGGUUGCAAAAGAAGUAGGUAGCUUAACCUUCGGGAGGGCGCUUACCACUUUGUGAUUCAUGACUGGGGUGAAGUCGUAACAAGGUAA
rnacentral:rRNA from 1 species